UACAGAGACUGCAAGCGUUAUUCGGAUUCACUGGGCGUAAAGGGUGCGCAGGCGGUCGGGUGUGUCAGAUGUGAAAUCCCGAGGCUCAACCUCGGAACUGCGUCUGAAACUACUCGACUAGAGUACUGGAGAGGGUAACGGAAUUCACGGUGUAGCAGUGAAAUGCGUAGAUAUCGUGAGGAACACCAGAGGCGAAGGCGGUUACCUGGACAGUUACUGACGCUCAGGCACGAAAGCAGGGGGAGCAAAAGGG
rnacentral:rRNA from 1 species